CCAAGGUUUCACCUAAGGAAGGAACACUAAUAAUUAAAAUAAGUGAUUAACUUCAAGGGACCCCUCCAAAGAUUGGCAUGUCAAAUUUACAACAGUUAAGAGAGUUGAGAAAAAUGAGAUAGAUAUCGUCGUUUUAUAUUGUUAAAAGUGGUAAUUCUAGCAAUAUAAUUCAUUGUUAAUUUUUAAAGAAACGGUUUUCAGCUGAAAAGAGUACAGCUGGACAAGGUAAACACGAUGAAAAGAUUUUUUAGAAAAUCUAAGCAGGAUGUUUCUAUCACAGACGAGGAAGCUACGUUAGACAACAUUCUUAAGGAUAAAAGUGCCGAGAAAAA